UGAGCGAAAUAGACGAUGUUUUGGGAGAGAUCCUAUAUACUCGGACUUGAAAAAAACGGACAUUAAACGUUGCAGCAAACGAAGCAUUGGUGUGGACAAAACGGGAAAGGGAUCCCUGAUUGUAUUUUAAAACUUGUGCGCGAAGUGUAUCCAAAUCCCCCGAACAAAAAAUACAUGGGACAAGUGUGGAUCUAAUGAGCAAACUCAGUUUUCUGUGUGAAAAUUCUGUGAAAGAAAAGGAAAUCCAUUAUUAAAGUUGUCUUGGAUAUGUGUUUUGGAGUUUUCGUUUAUCAGCUAUGGCUGCUUACCUGCAAUGCCUUGCAGCCGCAACAACAAACGGAUGUGGAGAUGAAAGUCCCUCAGCUCUUUUAACAACAGGCACAGCUGACCUCGUUGAUACCAAGUGUGGUUCCGGUGCAGGCCAAGUGCUCGCGACGACCUCCCUUGUGCUGUCUCUCCUUGCUGCAACACUGAUGUAGACGAUGCUAGCUCGAUCCGGACCUUGACAUACCCCUCCGACAGAUUUCUUUGAUUUAGUGUAGUUUAGUGUUCCGUGC